GUCCCCCUCCAGGCUUGCAUUAAUUUCGGUUUUCAGGCUGUCUCUUUCUCCCCUUUCCUGGGCUUGGCAGGGAGAGCGGAAGCUGAGUGUGUUGUCUCCUCGGGAAUAAAGGCUCCAGUUAGUUGACUUAAGAACUCUGGGCUAGAAUCAAAUUGGUCCCUGCAACUGACUCCAGAGACUCAGUUUUGGAUCACCCAUGGAGUCAUGUCUGGCGAGGAAGCUUGGGUGCGGGUGUGUGUGUGUGUCCGAGUUCGGACCUACAACCAACUCACAGCUCAGCUCCUCAGCUUCUCCUCCAACUCUGUAGACACGCAGAGAAACUUAACAGGGGUCCCCCUUAGCUCAUUGAUGACUCUUCCCUCCUUCUCCCCAAGCCUCAAAGGUCUUGAAAUCCUUUUGCUCUUUGUUACUUGCUGGAAUGGAGGAGGCAUUGUGGAGAGUGGAUUCUGUGUUUCACUUUAUGGGAACAGACCCCUCCUUGAUUCUGCAGGACUCUGCUUCCUGGGAGCUCCUAGUACCGCCGCAGAGAUCUCCCCCUCCCUCCUAGGCAGCAGCCCAGUCUCCACCCUCCUCAUCAGCCCUUCUCCAACGCACGCGUUCAGCACCAUAGACAGCUCCCCAGCGCGCGGCGUUCCUACCGGCACUGCGUGGCGCUCGCCGGGAGAUUCUGGCCAGGGCACGGGUACAGCUGCUGCUGAUGCUUCAGCCGGGACAGUUCCCUCUUCGUGGUCAGCCGUGUGCCAGGAAGGACGCCCUCUGUAAAGUGUUGGCAGCACAAUGGAACCUCUGGGCUCACCCUGCAUCGCUUGCUGUCCAAUGUAUUGGAGAAGGAAGAUUUUUGUGUAGGGUUGGGUGGGAUGCAGGGCACCCUGGAAAUUUUGCAGUAGGAUGUGGUAGAUGGGUUGCUUUCACACUGCUCUCUUCAUAGCCUCUUCGGUGCAGAAGGGAGCCAAGCUGACAAGCUUAGAGCUGGCCAUGUUCACUUUUUAACUCUGCCCUAUAUUUUGCACUUGCAGUGACAAAUAUCCAUAGUUUCGGCCAUUACUUUUCUCCCCGGACACACUACUUGGCUUGCUUGAGGGAGCUGACGACUCCUUGCUUGGAUGUAAAGGAACUUGCCCUGGUACCAAAUGAAAAUUCCCUUCAUCCACUGCAAAGGGCUGUUUUUAGAAAGGCUAGAAUAUAAAAGGAGGCUAGAGGGACUGAUUGAACAAAAAUAUGCCAAGAAAAUAGUCCUGUUAACACCGAGGCCCCAAUUCAGCAAAACUCUUAAGCACAUGCUCAAGUGCUUUGCUGAAAUGGGGCCAAUCCCCCUGAGUGACAUGAUGAAAGAUGUUAGGCCAUUGGCGGUGCACACAAGGUAGUUAAGGCAAAUGAAAGGGCUUUUUGUUAUUGAAGGAGCUGCUUAAGUCUAUUAAAUACUUCAGAUGCUUU